CAUAAAUAACUACCAUAAGGGAGACACAAGCCAAAACACAAAUCAUCUAUGGAUAGCCCUGGCAAGCCUCACCCAACCCCGGGUGAGGAGUACGAAAAAACUCUAGGAGCCCCUAUCUUACAACCCUGAUACUAGACAUCCAGACUUUCCUAUCAGGGGUCAUGUCCUCGGAAACCCGCAUUCUAGCCAUGUCAUGCCUAAUCACAUCUCCCCAAUACUUCUUAGGCCUGCCUCUGCCUCGCCGAACGCCAACAAUCUCCAGCCGCUCACAACUCCUCACCGGGGCAUUGGGACUUCUCCUCCGCACAUGCCCGAACCACCUCAGCCUCGCUUCUCGCAUCUUCUCAUCCACCGGGGCCACCCCUACAUUCUCUCGAAUAACUUCAUUCUUAAUCUUAUCUAACCUGGUGAGCCCGCACAUCCACCUGAGCAUCCUCAUCUCCGCAACCUUCAUUCUCUGAACANNN
rnacentral:lncRNA from 1 species